GAUGAACGCUAGCUACAGGCUUAACACAUGCAAGUCGAGGGGCAGCGGGAGCUUAGCUUGCUAAGUUUGCCGGCGACCGGCGCACGGGUGAGUAACACGUAUCCAACCUGGCCCAUACUCGGGUAUAGCCUCUCGAAAGGGAGAUUAAUCCCCGAUGUUGUUGUUAUGUCGCAUGAUGUUUCAACCAAAGAAUUUCGGUAUGGGAUGGGGAUGCGUUCCAUUAGCUUGUUGGCGGGGUAACGGCCCACCAAGGCGACGAUGGAUAGGGGUUCUGAGAGGCAGGUCCCCCACACUGGAACUGAGACACGGUACAGACUCCUACGGGAGGCAGCAGUGAGGAAUAUUGGUCAAUGGUCGGAAGACUGAACCAACCAAGUAGCGUGAAGGAUGACUGCCCUAUGGGUUGUAAACUUCUUUUGUUUGGGAAUAAAGUGCAGCACGUGUGCUGUUUUGUAUGUACCAUUCGAAUAAGCAUCGGCUAAUUCCGUGCCAGCCGCCGCAGUAAAAC
rnacentral:rRNA from 1 species